CUUCCUCCUUGUGCCCCGAAGGCCAGCCCGGCACUCAGAAGCUUUGGAGUCUCCCAAAAUGCCUGCUGGGUCUCUGCAGGACUGGCACCUGUCACCGGAACCUGUCUGGGAGGGACGAGAACACGCUUUGCAAGAGGAAGCUCUGCCUCACAGAGCCCUGGGCUCACUCAGGGACCCUGGCCAGCAGCUGCUUCCUCUCCCCACAGCGGAGAGAGACCCAAGGGUCCCAGGGCGGAUGCUUCCCACCAGGCCAGCCCAGCGUGCAGGGUGGCCUCGUAAGUCCUGAUUGACAUAUGGACAGUGG
rnacentral:lncRNA from 10 species